ensembl:snRNA U4 U4 spliceosomal RNA
AGCUUUGCGCAGUGGCAGUAUCGUAGCCAAUGAGGUUUAUCCGAGGCGCGAUUAUUGCUAAUUGAAAACUUUUCCCAAUACUCAUAUAGCAUAGAAUUCAGAGUUUUAAAGUGUAUAGUUCAGUACUAUUUAUGAUAAU